CAUUGUUUAUAUAAAGCAUCUUUCAUAUCUCCUUUUUAUUUCUUUAUCCACUCGUUUAUAAAUAAAGAAAAACUCAGAAUUUGUGAUCUGACUAAAUAUUUAUUGUAAAUGUGUGUUUCAAAUAUUUAUACAGAUGAAUGUAACUUUUCUCAAGGUAAGAUAGCAGCAUGUCGCCCUAAUUUUUUCUCUCUACCACCUUUUUCACUCUCAACCGUCAAGCAAAACAAAAGUUCAGAUCUUGCCUCCCUGGUAGCUGGUUCUCAUUGCCGGUGUCGGGAGUGCUUUCUCCUUUUUUUAAUGUUUCCAUCUUUCUUUGAAGCCUUUUAUAGUCAUUUUCUCGGCAUUCUCCAAUUUUAACUGAUGAAGGAAUAAGCUUUCUAGUGCUUUUCCAGAAUGUGUGGUGGUGUGGUUGCCGACAGAGCUUUGUGAAGGCUGGUAUGGCUAGAGCGUGGCGAUUGGCUUUUCUCCUUCAGUCUCUCGUUCUGCUUUAAGUUGUGUGUUCGUCUGAGCUCGACGACCAAAGUGGCAGAUCUGCGGUAAACUGUUCUCUUGGCUGCUGGAGGGUUUCAAGACCAUUGAGGACAUGGUAUUUGGUGCUUGUGCAGUUCUUUGAGUUUGAUUUUUUCUAGGGUUUUGCUCGGUAAUGUGGCGAUACUUUUCUGGUCUUACUCUGAUCUCUGAGGAUUCAGGUGGUGGUCGGUUGGUCUUGGGUUCGGGGAGAAUCUCCCUCGCCUAGCUGUUGGGGGUGCGAUCUCGGCUACCACAAGUGUUUACAACAUCGCUUCUCAGCUGCUCCGAGAUUCGGUUCCUUUAUGGUCUCCAAUGUGGCUCCAGUUUUGUAUUGUGUGUUGCUAGCUUGUUAUUAGGUUCCGCAGUGUGCCUUUCCUUUACAAGGCUUGGUGGAUACAACGGUGGAGUCGUUAGUGGAAUCUAUCGACGCUACCAGCUGCGGCAUUUUCUUUUCAUCUCUUAUUUUUGUUUUUGGAGUAGUUGUUUCAUCUUCGCGGUGUAUUUAUUAGUUAUUGUUUCAUUUGGUCUUGUGGUAGUAGUUUUAUAAUUUUUUGUAGUUUUUGUUUUUUCUGUUUUUUUCGGUUAAAAAUUAAAAUUUUGGUAUAAAAUUUAACAUUAAAAGCAAAA
rnacentral:lncRNA from 1 species